UGGGGCAUCGUCAAGUGGUAAGACACUGGAUUUUGAUUCCAGCAUUCGCAGGUUCGAAUCCUGCUGCCCCAGCCA
rnacentral:tRNA from 1 species